AUCUGCCUGGCCCCGGGGACCUCCUUAACUUGGGCUGGAAAGGGCGGAAGCGGCCCCGGGGCAGGCUGGGAGAUGUAGUUCCUGACUCUCCCCGGAGCGGAAGUGACGUCGGGGGGGAGGAAGAGCCGAGUUCUGCCUGGCUCGCGCGGGGCCGUUGGAGCCUCUCCCGGGGCCGGAGAAGGAUGUGUGACUGAGAUCAGGGCACUUAUCAUACUAAGUGUGUCCCUGCUCUGACAGCUGCUGCAGAGACCCCAACUGAGAUCUGGGCCCUGCUUUGCCAGGCACU